rnacentral:misc_RNA from 1 species
GGACGGUUCUCAAUGCUUCCAUAUAAAAGAGAACGGCCAUGAUACAAGCUUGUAAAGGCAAAUUAUUCUUGCAUAUGGGGACGGUUGAGGCUUCCUAUAUAUAGUGAAACACUAACGUUAUCAAAACUCUAGUAGAAACCAAACCAUAAACAAAAAGAAGUAAGAACACAGAGACUGUUUAAACUAUAUUUUUUCUCGUUCAGUUUGUCAAAAAUUCAAAGAAGCUCAUCUGGGUUAUGUCUUGGAUGGGCGAUGUUUUCAUUUCUUAUUGAUCUCAACACCUGCAGUCUCCUGUAUUUGUUGUGAGAAGAGUUGAAUCAGGGAGAAAGAGAGAGCAAUGGAUCAGGAGAAUUUGAGUUUUAAUGCCUCAAAAUCAUCUGCAAAUGGUCAAUCCAUUUGCAGUAAUUUUGUUGUUGGACAGCCUAAUUCUACUAACAGUAGGAGUUAUGGCAUUGAUACACAAGCCCGAGCAGAAGGAGGAUCAUCACAAACUCUUAGUUCUAGCAGCAGCAGCAAGGAGCCUGUGAACAAGUGGAUGGCAUUUGAAAGAGAAGAUAAGACCAAGAUCACUUCUUCUGCUUAUGCAAUAACAGAAUUGAAGGGAAGUAAUAUGGCAGCAAAAGAUGAUGGAAGCUUCAAUAAUUUCAAUGGACAAUCCUCUUCCAACAAGAUAUUAACAGAAGCAAGCAUAGCAGAAAGGACAGCAGAAUGGGGACUUGUUGUUAAGUCAGAUUUGGGGGAAGGUAGUUUCAAAGCAAUAAAGAUUUCAUCUGGAGACGGAGAUGGAUGCAAAUACCCAUCGGAGAGAUUCACAGCCAAGUCAACAAGGUCAUCAGAGGAAUCAGAAGCAAAAUCCUUUCCUAGGGUAUCACAAGAGUUGAAGGAUGCUCUGGCAACCCUACAGCAAACAUUUGUUGUGUCUGAUGCCACAAAACCAGACUGUCCUAUAAUGUAUGCCAGUAGUGGAUUUUUUAGAAUGACUGGCUAUACUUCAGAGGAGGUUAUUGGAAGGAACUGCCGGUUUCUUCAGGGACCAGAAACAGACAGGCAAGAAGUGGCGAAGAUACGAGAUGCAGUGAAGAAUGGGAGAAGCUACUGCGGUAGGCUUGUCAACUACAAGAAGGAUGGCACUUCUUUCUGGAAUCUGCUAACUGUCACCCCUAUCAAAGAUGACAGAGGCAAUGCAAUCAAAUUCAUUGGAAUGCAGGUGGAAGUCAGCAAAUAUACUGAAGGUAUUAACGACAAGGCUUUACGCCCUAAUGGAUUGCCCAAGUCUUUAAUCCGCUAUGAUGCUCGUCAGAAGGACAAGGCUUUAGGUUUCAUCACAGAGGUUGUUCAAACUGUCAGAGACCCGAAAUCUCACAUUCGAGCAAUGAGCCAAGACACACCCGACAGCCUUGAUUAUGUUCUGCCUAAAUCUGUUGACUUUGAUGCCAUCAGUUCCAGUACACCUGGACAAACUCCUCAGUUGAACUCCAUAGAUGAUGUUUCUCGGGAAGCUGACAAGAAAACUAGAAAAUCAAGUCGCAUUUCCUUGAUGGGGUUCAAACCAAGGUCUAUAAGUUUUGCUGGAAAACGAGAAGCACCACCACCAACUGUUGAACCAGAGGUUUUGAUGACCAAGGAGGUAAAACUCUCCGACAGUUGGGACCAUGCUGAUAGAGAAAGGGACAUACGCCAAGGAAUUGAUUUGGCAACCACACUGGAGCGCAUUGAAAAGAAUUUUGUGAUCACAGAUCCUAGACUUCCUGAUAACCCUAUUAUAUUUGCAUCCGAUAGCUUUCUUGAACUAACGGAAUAUACACGUGAAGAAAUCUUGGGAAGAAACUGUCGGUUUCUUCAAGGACCUGAAACAGAUCAAGCAACAGUCUCAAAGAUAAGAGAUGCUAUUAGAAAGCAGCAGGAAAUUACUGUUCAAUUGAUCAACUACACCAAAAGUGGAAAGAAAUUCUGGAACUUAUUCCACCUGCAACCUAUGCGUGACCAAAAGGGUGAGCUUCAAUACUUCAUUGGUGUUCAACUAGAUGGAAGUGAUCAUGUGGAACCCCUUCGAAACCGCCUUUCUGAAAAGACUGAACUACAAAGUGCUAAGAUGGUUAAAGCUACUGCUGAAAAUGUUGACGAAGCUGUUAGAGAACUUCCUGACGCCAACUUGACACCAGAGGAUUUGUGGGCAUUGCAUUCUCAGCCCGUCUUUCCACGGCCUCACAAAAGGGACAGUGCUUCAUGGAUAGCAAUACAAAAGAUCACUUCCAGUGGUGAGAAAAUAGGAUUACAACAUUUCAAGCCCAUAAAACCCUUGGGUUGCGGUGAUACUGGCAGUGUUCAUCUAGUGGAACUGAAAGGUAGUGGCCAAUUGUAUGCGAUGAAGGCAAUGGAAAAAUCUAUGAUGCUGCACCGUAAUAAGGUUCACCGAGCAUGCAUUGAAAGAGAAAUCAUUUCGCUUCUGGAUCAUCCUUUCCUUCUCACGCUAUACGCUUCCUUUCAGACUUCCACACAUGUUUGUCUGAUAACAGACUUUUGCCCUGGUGGAGAGCUAUUUGCAUUGCUUGACAAGCAACCUAUGAAAUUUUUUAAGGAGGAAUCUGCAAGGUACUCUCAAUUAUUUCCUAAGUUACCUACAUUCUGCUAUUUAAAACUUAUUUCCCUUAUCAUUGAAGUUCUUGUUUAGUUUCUUAUUCCAUCUGAAGUACAAACAGUGUCUUUCUCUUUCUGAUAUAUUUCUGGACCCAAAUUGGCCUGCCUAGAAAUUUGAAUUUUUAAUGUAUUUUAUGAUCAAUAUGAGUGGGCUAAUAUUUGGUAAAUUUUUAGAAUUAUGGGUUUGUUUUGGAGUCAAUUUUAGAACAAAAGGGGAUGAAAAGCACAGAGAGUUUGAUUUAAACUCGACGUUGAUUCAGAACCUGGUGAACAGUUUUAAUCAUUCUUACAUGGAACUAAGAAUUGUCUCAUUUAAUUUGAUUGAAAUGAUGAAAUCAACUGAAAGAUUUGGUUUACACACAUUUUGAAAGGUUUGAGCCUGAUGUGAAUUGUAAUAGCAUGCCCUUUAAGAUCCGCGUCCUCUUGUUAAUUCUCUCACUUAAUGCCAUAAGACACAGUCAUUUCCUUAAUGAAUCCUACAGAAGCUAGUGUUUUAGCUUAGUUGAAUAUUAAGAGUUGCCUUUUGCAUCAUAACCUCGAAUAAAUUAAUUCUUUCUAUUUCAUUGUUUAUUGCAAUUAUGUCUUCAGGUUCUAUGCAGCAGAGGUUGUCAUUGGCUUGGAAUACCUUCACUGUUUAGGAAUAAUUUAUCGAGACUUAAAGCCAGAAAAUAUUUUGAUCCAAAAGAACGGUCAUGUCGUUCUAACUGAUUUCGAUUUAUCAUUUAUGGCAUCCUGUAAACCACAAAUAAUAAAGCACUCGCCUCCUAGUAAACGAAGAAGCUCUAGGAGUCAGCCGCCACCAACAUUUGUUGCAGAACCAGUAACACAAUCAAAUUCUUUUGUUGGAACUGAAGAAUACAUUGCUCCUGAAAUAAUCACAGGCACAGGCCACAGUAGUGCCAUUGACUGGUGGGAUCUUGGUAUUUUGUUGUAUGAGAUGUUAUACGGUCGUACACCUUUCAGGGGAAAGAACAGACAAAGGACAUUUGCAAACAUUUUGCACAAAGAUCUAACCUUUCCAAGCAGCAUUACUGUUAGUCUUGCUGCUAGGCAAUUGAUUAAUGCACUGUUGAGCAGAGAUCCUGACAUCCGUUUAGGAUCAAAGACUGGUGCAAAUGAAAUCAAACAACAUCCUUUUUUCCGUGGAAUUAAUUGGCCUCUUAUACGCUGCAUGAGCCCACCACCUCUGGAUGUUCCUCUCCAAUUAAUUGUAAAAGAUCCGAAGGCCAAAGAUGUUUCAUGGGAAGAUGAUGGAGUGCUUGAAUCGUCUAUAGAUAUGGAGAUUUUCUGAAGGUUUGUAUGAAUUAGGACGUCAAUUCAGAGCUGCAUUAUUUCUGAUUAGCAAUCCAUAACUUUUCAGUGUCAUUGAUUUUCUUUUCUUUUGCGGACUCAUAUUACAGACAAGUGCUGCUCCAAGUGACAUCUCAUGAUAGCAUUGCUCUCUUAUUUGUUUAUAUUAUGUCCAUUGUACCGGAUUACUAAAAAGAGAUUAUGCAGCUUUAUCAGUGUUUUGUAUGUUCCGUUAAGGCAUCGUAUAGGUUUGCCUCAGCUUAUAAAGCAAGAAACUGUAGUAACAUGCGAGAUUUAAUAGACUAUCCAUCUACAAGCACAUAAGUUUUAUGGGAGUUGAAAUGGAUUUCCAUUCAAGUAAUAACCAGAUAGCUCCCGUCAGCCGGGGACUGACUGUAAUUCUGGAGCCAUAGGCAUCUGACUUCUAUUUCUCAAUAAAGUAAAUAUUCUAAAUAAUCAAAUUUAGAUGCUACCUAGCUGCAUGUAUCUAUAAUUAGACAUUUUCAUCUACUUUUUCUCAAACCAUCAUCCAACGUAAUCUGUCAUCAGACCUCACAGCUUCUGGACCUACAUUCUGUAAGAGUAAACCAAACAUUAUAACCUCAUUGACUGAAUGACUCCAAUGGCAUAAACAUCCUCAUAUUUGCCUUCUAGUCCUCAUAGACAACCCAAUAACAUUGUUAAGAAACCAAAAAAUAAUUUAAAAGAAAUAACAAAAUAAACAGGAAAGUUAGUCUGGUAA